rnacentral:RNase_MRP_RNA from 1 species
GGGCAUUCAGAAGGCUUGCAAUCUGGGCUACUCGCUGAGGACACCGUUCCUCCACCAUCGCCCAGGGGAAAGUCCCCGGACGCAGGGCAGAAAGUGCUCCAGUGUAAUCGCUCCCAUCGGCCUUGCGCUCCACCGUUGAUGGCUAAGAUGUGAAAUGCGAUAUACUGAGCUUGGUGGAUCGCAAGUCGAACUUGUCCAUGUGAUAGAAAUGCAAGUAGGCAACUACUGUACGCAUAAACAGAACGGGGCUCAUUCUCGGAAUGCU